GAUGAACGCUGACAGAAUGCUUAACACAUGCAAGUCGAUGGGGAAGGGUAAGCUUGCUUACUUGGUAACCAUGGCGGACGGGUGAGUAACGCGUAAGGAACUUACCUGCGGGACUGGGAUAACGGAGGGAAACUGCUGACAAGACCGGAUAAGGUCAUUAAGCCGCAUAGCUUAGUGAUGAAAGGAGACGCCUGCGGAGAGCCUUGCGUCCUAUUAGCUAGUUGGAGGGGUAACGGCCCACCAAGGCGAAGAUAGGUAGCCGGCCUGAGAGGGUGGACGGCCACAAGGGGACUGAGAUACGGCCCUUACUCCUACGGGAGGCAGCAGUGGGGAAUAUUGGACAAUGGGGGCAACCCUGAUCCAGCAAUUCUGUGUGCACGAAGACGGUUUUCGGAUUGUAAAGUGCUUUCAGCAGGGAAGAAGGAAGUGACGGUACCUGCAGAAGAAGCGACGGCUAAAUACGUGCCAGCAGCCGCGGUAAUACGUAUGUCGCGAGCGUUAUCCGGAAUUAUUGGGCAUAAAGGGCAUCUAGGCGGCCUUUCAAGUCAGGGGUGAAAACCUGCGGCUCAACCGCAGGCCUGCCUUUGAAACUGAUAGGCUGGAGUACCGGAGAGGUGGACGGAACUGCACGAGUAGAGGUGAAAUUCGUAGAUAUGUGCAGGAAUGCCGAUGAUGAAGAUAGUUCACUGGACGGUAACUGACGCUGAAGUGCGAAAGCCGGGGGAGCAAACGGG
rnacentral:rRNA from 1 species